GGAAAGUAAAAAAUGUAACAAGGUUUCCGUAGGUGAACCUGCGGAAGGAUCAUUACAGAAUGAAAAGUGCUUAACUGCAUUUUUUCUUACACAUGUGUUUUUCUUUUUUUGAAAACUUUGCUUUGGUAGGCCUUCUAUAUGGGGCCUGCCAGAGAUUAAACUCAACCAAAUUUUAUUUAAUGUCAACCGAUUAUUUAAUAGUCAAAACUUUCAACAACGGAUCUCUUGGUUCUCGCAUCGAUGAAGAACGCAGCGAAAUGCGAUAAGUAAUAUGAAUUGCAGAUAUUCGUGAAUCAUCGAAUCUUUGAACGCACAUUGCGCCCUUUGGUAUUCCAAAGGGCAUGCCUGUUUGAGCGUCAUUUCUCCCUCAAACCCUCGGGUUUGGUGUUGAGCGAUACGCUGGGUUUGCUUGAAAGAAAGGCGGAGUAUAAACUAAUGGAUAGGUUUUUUCCACUCAUUGGUACAAACUCCAAAACUUCUUCCAAAUUCGACCUCAAAUCAGGUAGGACUACCCGCUGAACUUAAGCAUAUCAAA
rnacentral:rRNA from 1 species